GCGCCACAGCCCUGGCUCGCCUCGCGCCGCACGGGUCGUCACGCUGUCCCGUGAGACCACCUGCCUCGCUGGCGGGUUUUAAUCAAGGGACUAAUUUUCUCAAAACGUGAGGGAUAUUAUGUGUUCUCUGUGGAUUGAUACGAAAAACCCAGUGUUGUUUGGUGCCUAGCAUUCAGAAAUAUCAGCAAUUAACGUACCACCUAUGAUGAAAUGUGCAUGAUUGUGUGUGUGUUUUGCCAUUUUUACUGUUGAAGUGUGAUUCAAAUAUCCGUACAUCGUUCCGUGAGCUGAGUGGACAUAUGCACCAUUCUUCCAUAACGACAGUUAAUUCAAAUGACGGAAGUUAGUGUGUGACAAAUUGAAUUACCAAAUACAAAAAUUCAAGUCAACCUAAAUUGGGAGGAUGUCCUGCUUGGCCAACUUGCAGCGUGCUGAAUGUGUGCAGACCUCGAUGUGCUGAGUGCGCGUCAGGGACGCGGUGUUCCGCGUCCCUGAAAUACAACAAGGAGAAAACAAAGCACGCCAAGACACUGUUCACCUGGGUCAGAUCCUACUGUGGCGCGGGAGUCAGUCAGUCAGUCAGUCAGCAUCGUAAGACACAAGACGAGGAGCAAGCAAGAUUCACGACGACACAGUUCUUCACUGACUCGUAAACUCACUGACUGCAAAGUGCGUCUGUGCAGAGAAGACAACACGUGUGGUGCCGCCCUCCCGUGACUACUGAGGAGACAGGAAAGAGAAGAAACCAGGAAAGAAACAGCAAGAGGAGGAAGAGGAGGAGGAGGAGAAGGAGGAGGAAGAGGAGGACGACGACGAAAAAGAGUUGGGGAUUAAAGGGGAGGAGGACGAACAAGAGGAUGUACUGUGGUAAGAGGAGGAGGAGGAAGGCGUAAAUAGAAUAAAGGAAUAAAGAAAUACAAAGAAGAGUACGAAUGUAUAGGGAAGAAUAACGAAAUAUAUUGUCAAAUCAGGAAAAAAAAAGAAGGAAGAAAAGGAAAUAUAAAGGGAAUAGAAGCAAGAGUAGUGAAGCUUGAGAUAGAAUAAAAAAAAGAUAUGAAGGAGUAAUGGUUUAUAAGAAGGAGUAAGGAAAUAUAAGGAAGAAUAAUGAGAAGUACAGAAGGAAAAGGAUAUAUAAUGAAAGAAAAUAACCGUAGAUAACGCCUAUGAAAUUUUACUGGCACACAUUUCUUUCCUCCUCUCCUUCGAUUACCUUCCAACGUGGCAUACCCUUCCCUUAGCUAACCCAGCCAUUAUCCAAGAGGCAGAGAGGGAGAAGAUACAGUGCUCACCUCCUCACCACGCCCUGCAAUAAAGAGCAACACCUCCUCCUUCAAUGACCUCAUCCCAACACAUCAAAGACAAACCCACCACCACCACCACCACCACCACCACCACCACCACAACCACCAACCACGACCAUAACAAUAAUAAUGACCAAAAUCAUAGCCCCUCCACAAUUCCCGCCACAGUCAGAGCCGCACAGAGUCACCAGCAGCACCUCCAAGCCAGCUCUCCUUGUCCCAGCGGCAGUCCUCGUCCCCCCUUACCACCACGUCGCCUUCACCAGCACCACCCUCUCCCUCCUCCACGCCACCGCCGCCACUCCAGCACGAGACCGCCGCCCUUAACCCUCCGAGGAACGUGCUGCCCCAGGGCCGUCUCGACCAGCUGCAGGCGGAGGUGAGCAAGCUGGAGCAGCGGAGCGAGCAGCUGGAGGCUCGGGUAAAGAGUUUCUUCCGCCAGCACCAUGCCCUCGCCGCUGCCACGGACCAGAUCGACCUUAAACUGGAGGCGCUCAACCGACAACACAAGACCCUCUCGUCCUCAUAGUCUUUUGUGUGGCUGCCUCGAGGAACACUGCACGUACACCGCCUCUCCUGAGUGUGUUAUGGAGAUCCUUAAUGUUGAGGCAUACCUGUGUUUCCUGGUGUGAAAGAGAUUUGUGUGGUGUAAUACAGGUGCCGACACCGCACUUACCCACAAGAACUGACAAAAUAUCAUCGUUUUUAUGCUUACUAUAAUUUUUCUUAGGAAGAGUCUUGGUGCGGCUGUAUGUGUGUGUGUGUGUGUGUGUGUGUGUGUGUGUGUGUGUGUGUGUGUGUGUGUGUGUGUGUGUGUGUGUGUGUGUGUGUGUGUGUGUGUGUGUUCCCUGGUUCAAAACAAACUUGUGCAGAGUGAGACAGGUGGCCACACAGCACUCACCUACGAAAACUUAGGGAAUAUUGGCAUUUUUAUGAAGAGCGUUUUUAUAAAGAGUCCUGGGACCGCUGCGUGUGUGUCUGUGUGUCUUGACGCAACACGAACUUGUGCGGAGUAAGAUGGAUGGAUGCCAGAACAACUUUACCCGACGGAAACUUAUCAAACAAUGUCAAUUUUAGGCUUCAUCUUUAUUUUUGUAUGAGUCAGUGUCGCAGAGAAUGCCUCAGAAAGGUUACGUGGACCACACACAUUUUUUUUUACGGCUAGUUUUAUGUUUUGUGGCCGCUCGGAUACAAUGUAUUUCUGGGAACAGGCUCGUCAAGACCUCGCCGCGGGGUUGCGUGGGCGCGGCGGGGAGUUCCCUCGCUCCUUCCUUCUCUCGCCAAGCUCGCCUCUCUUCACCCAACACUCGAUAUUUUGAGGAAAAUGGAGCAGCUACAACAAAGGCAACAAAUUUUCAGGGGCAGGGUGUAUUGGUAAAAAAAAAAAGUAGGGCUUUCAUAAAGACGGGCUGGAACUUAUUAAAAUGAGAUCCAAACGAUGGAAAUUAACAAGAAAAUCUUAAUACAGGUAGUUAAGCGUGACUAAAAUAGCAGAUUAAAAAAAAAAACAAAAAAAAAACAAAACAAAACAAAAAACAGAAGGCAAUAGAAAGCAUAGAAACAUAUUAUGGCUUUCAUUGACACCUUUUUGUGACGCGUGUGUUGCAUGCACGGAGACUGCACGGCGAGAGAGAGAGAGAGAGAGAGAGAGAGAGAGAGAGAGAGAGAGAGAGAGAGAGAGAGAGAGAGAGAGAGAGAGAGAGAGAGAGAGAGAGAGAGAGAGAGAGAGAGAGAGAGUGAAUGAUUUUUCUUUGUAAAUACUAUGCCCAACAAGAAACAUAGAUUGUGUUCUUAUUCUUCAUAUUAUUUCCAUUAUUUACCUGGUAAUGGUGCCCCACUUUCCUUUAGUAGCAUACUAUCACAAACUAUUCUUAUACACAACGACGGCAAUUUGUAAGUCAUGCAAGAGUAGUUAAGACGAGAAUAAAACACUUAUGGAUAGAUCAGAGACGUACCCAUUCGCUUGAAAGAUAAUGACGAUAAAAUUAUUUAAAAGUUUUCUAUUGCCACCUCAAGAUAAAUAAUAAUGAAUUCUUGGUGAUGAAAGGAGUCAGUGGCACUGUUUUUCAAAAGUUAAUGAAGAGUUGAUAUCUGUAUUUAACAAGGAGGGGCAGCAGCGGCAAGGAAGGCAGAACAAAGGCAAGGACAUUGGCAGGAGUAGCUGUGCAAAUCAAGGAAUUCGUUCGAUGUUUUUUAGUGUACGAGUAUAUUGAUUAAUAGAAAGUCUGGUAAAGCAUUCGAUACUUAUUUUCUGUCAGGGUGUCUAUCUGAACCAUGUCAUUCAUUCAUAACCUCUUUAAGCGACCACAUAAAAUUUAAUGGUUAUCGAUCAUUACCUCGUGUAUGUCUCUUCUUAUUCCGACAGUUAACACAUGGCAUUCAGUGCAUUCCACCACCUACACUCAUCAUAACACCUUUCACCGUUACUACUAAUACCACUGUCCCCACAAACCUACACAGUACCCCUCCCAUAGCCAGUAAAUAACCGCACAAAGCCAAAACGAGAAACUCUCACAAAGUACGCGAGACUGCUCUCGUAACCACCAAAACCACCCUUACUCACCACCACCUCCAUCACCUACACACCUGCCACUCCUUAACCCACUAAAUUACCGACCGAAGCCAAUCAAGUCAAGAAAAUGCUACAGAGUACACGAGGACAUUCACAUAACACAAUAAACAUAACAUCUACUACUAUUUGUUUCACCACCAGCACCUACUUACUCCACUGCAUUCAGAUCUACAACCCACCACCCAACACCAUCACCACCACCACGAACACCACCAGGUAACCUUUACCCUUCGCUAGGUGCGCACUCGU